rnacentral:rRNA from 1 species
AACUUUCAACAACGGAUCUCUUGGUUCUCGCAUCGAUGAAGCACGCAGCGAAAUGCGAUAAGUAAUGUGAAUUGCAGAAUUCAGUGAAUCAUCGAAUCUUUGAACGCACAUUGCGCCCCCUUGGUAUUCCGAGGGGCAUGCCUGUUCGAGCGUCAUUA